UACGAAGGGGGCUAGCGUUGUUCGGAUUUACUGGGCGUAAAGCGCACGUAGGCGGAUCGUUAAGUCGGGGGUGAAAUCCUGGAGCUCAACUCCAGAACUGCCUUCGAUACUGGCGAUCUUGAGUCCGGAAGAGGUGAGUGGAAUUCCUGGUGUAGCGGUGAAAUGCGCAGAUAUCAGGAAGAACACCAAUGGCGAAGGCAGCUCUCUGGGACGGUACUGACGCUGAGACGCGAAAGCGUGGGGAGCGAACAGG
rnacentral:rRNA from 1 species